ensembl:lncRNA
GAAAAAGCUUACGGCACCUGGGAUUCCCAGGCGGUCUUCCAUCCAGUACUAACCAGGCCCUACUCUGCUUAGCUUCUGAGAUCAGACGAGAUCAGGCGGAGCCAGAGAGGUAUGGCCGUAAGCAACUGUAUGUCCUCUUCCUAAUCUUUUAAAUGUGUCAAAGGUUUUGGAGUUUUGACAAUGAAAUGGAGUCACUUUCUAAGGCCUUCUCUGUGUCUUUUACAGAUAGAAAUGAAAAAGCUUACGGCACCUGGGAUUCCCAGGCGGUCUUCCAUCCAAGUACUAACCAGGCCCUACUCUGCUUAGCUUCUGAGAUCAGACGAGAUCAGGCGGAGCCAGAGAGGUAUGGCCGUAAGCAACUGUAUGUCCUCUUCCUAAUCUUUUAAAAUGUGUCAAAGGUUUUGGAGUUUUGAUAAUGAAAUAGAAGUCACUUUCUAAUGCCUUCUCGAUUUCUUCCAGAGAGAGAAAUGAAAAAGCUUACGGCACCUGGGAUUCCCAGGCGGUCUUCCAUCCAAGUACUAACCAGGCCCUACUCUGCUUAGCUUCUGAGAUCAGACGAGAUCAGGCGGAGCCAGAGAGGUAUGGCCGUAAGCAACUGUAUGUCCUCUUCCUAAUCUUUUAAAAUGUGUCAAAGGUUUUGUAGUUUUGACAAUUAAAUGGAGUCACUUUCUAAGGCCUUCUCUGUGUCUUUUACAGAUCGAAUUGAAAAAGCUUACGGCACAUGGGAUUCCCAGGCGGUCUUCCAUCCAAGUACUAACCAGGCCCUACUCUGCUUAGCUUCUGAGAUCAGACGAGAUCAGGCGGAGCCAGAGAGGUAUGGCCGUAAGCAACUGUAUGUCCUCUUCCUAAUCUUUUAAAAUGUGUCAAAGUUUUUGUAGUUUUGACAAUGAAAUGGAGUCACUUUCUAAGUUCUUCUCUGUGUCUUUUACAGAUAGAAAUGAAAAAGCUUACGGCACCUGGGAUUCCCAGGCGGUCUUCCAUCCAAGUACUAACCAGGCCCUACUCUGCUUAGCUUCUGAGAUCAGACGAGAUCAGGCAGAGCCAGAGAGGUAUGGCCGUAAGCAACUGUAUGUCCUCUUCCUAAUCUUUUAAAAUGUGUCAAAGGUUUUGGAGUUUUGAUAAUGAAAAAGGAGUCACUUUCUAAUGCCUGCUCGAUUUCUUCCAGAGAGAGAAAUGA